rnacentral:rRNA from 1 species
GCUUGGGAAACUGCCCAGUCGUGGGGGACAACCAUUGGAAACGAUGGCUAAUACCGCAUACGCCCUACGGGGGAAAGAAGGGACCUUCGGGCCUUUCGCGAUUGGAUGUGCCCAAGUGGGAUUAGCUAGUUGGUGGGGUAAAGGCCUACCAAGGCGACGAUCUCUAGCUGGUCUGAGAGGAUGAUCAGCCACACUGGGACUGAGACACGGCCCAGACUCCUACGGGAGGCAGCAGUGGGGAAUAUUGCACAAUGGGCGAAAGCCUGAUGCAGCCAUGCCGCGUGUGUGAAGAAGGCCUUG